rnacentral:rRNA from 2 species
UACGGAGGGGGCGAGCGUUGUCCGAAGUUACUGGGCGUAAAGCGCGCGUAGGCGGGUUGGCAAGUCCGCUGUGAAAGCCCGGUGCUUAACGCCGGAGGGUCGGUGGAUACUGCCAGUCUUGAAGGUGCUAGGGGAAGAUGGAAUUACCAGUGUAGCGGUGAAAUGCGUAGAUAUUGGUAGGAACACCAGUGGCGAAGGCGGUCUUCUGGAGCACUCUUGACGCUGAGGCGCGAAAGCUGGGGGAGCGAACGGG